UGAGGUUGUCCAUUGACCUUUUCUUUUCACUUUUGCAGUCCUAUAACGCUCAUUAUCAGUGUUGUGUAAUUGUCACAGUGCACUCCUAGAGUCAACAAUGUGUUGUGGAAAGGCCAAGAGCCAACACCCAUGUGGAUCAGCCUCUUCUGUCCAACAACAGGCACCUGAAGAACUUUAACCUCAUGCUGCAUGCUGUUGUCGUUGCUUAAAUGCAACAAUGUGGAUUGCAGGUUGCAUAAAACACAAGAGAAAAUUCUGGAUGAAGCAAAUAAACCCACAACAGCCAACACCUUAUCUAUAAUAAUAAACUGGGCAUCAAUUAUAUAAUCUUAAACUGGGUGUGGUUUUAUGCUAGUAUAGAGUAGCAUCACUCCUUAAGGUAGAUACUUUUUUAAUCUAGUUUUUUUUUUUGUUUUUUUUUUUAAUGGAAGUAUGCUGCUGUUUGUCAUCAAGAAGAGCAUGUUGGGAUAAUUUAUUUUGUAUUUCCAUUCUGCAGUGCUCAGGCUUUGAGCUUUCAGCUUUGUAACGCUUAUGAAUUUCUUGUGGUAACCCAGAAGUAAAGAAGUGGGAAGUCCAGGUUACCUAGAGCAAGGUGUACCUACCCUCUGUUAGAAACAUAGCACAAAGGGAAUGAAAAUAAACAUAAAAUGUGGUUUUGGACAGAGCCUGGAGUGAUGUUCUUUGACAAGAGGUAUUGAAAAGUCCCAUUAAAUAAAUGGCUGUUUACAAAAGAUAGAAAAGAGAGACAGGACUGGAAGCCAAGCACUUUUUCAGUGCCCUGUAAAUAAAUUGCUUCCAAAGAGUCAUCCUAGGAAGUUUAGUCUGUUUACUCUGUUGAUGUUGUUAUGGCCUUAUCUUUAAGUUUGUCCUUCACUGGUUAGGAACGGGUCUGACUGCACUAAACUGCUCUUUGCCUGGAGUGAGUUCAUCUCAACGUUGAUCACUGCUCACCAUAAUGGUGUGGUGUUUCACGCUCUGACCCCUGCGUCACUUUGUGUUCACUGCUAAAUGCAAGUUGAGGCCUCAUUUUUGUUGGUUCCUUUUGAUAUGCACAAAUGCCUAUCAGACUUAAAGGUGAGUAAUCAGACUAUUUUUUUUUUAGUGUCCCUGGCUGUUUUCUCUUGUACGAGUUUGAUCUGGUUGAUAUUAGAGUGGCCAAAAAGAUAAAUGCAGACUUGCUUGAUACUCUGGACUAGCUUCUAGAGGCACAGACAUAUGCAAGUCUUAGAAGCUCAUAUUUCCAUUGCUGAAGUCUUUUACAAAACUCUUGAGUAACCUUAACCAGAGCACUGGAUCUUUCUGAACUUGGAGAAUAGUGUUAACCUCCUAUGGGCUGAGUAGUGUGGCAUGAGAUUUAGCUAAUAUUUGUAGAAGAGUAAUUCUUUAGAGGCAUAUGAGUCUUAGCUAAUAUUUACAGAGCUCUUUGAGGUCUUGGGAUAGAUGCUGCUACCAAAGGGUGAAGUGGUAUUCACAUGUUCUGUCAUGUCAGAGUUGUUUACAAAUAGAAUAGAAUGGUGUUUUGAAGGUCAGGGACCUUGAGAACAAUAGUGGGUUUGAAGUACUCAUUUAUUUUUUACCAAGUUCAGAUGCCUGGCAUACACUAGCAUUUCAUUUAUAUAAAAGAUCUGAUCAAACAUUUUGGUUGUUUAAAAGGGUUGUUUUGCUUGUUUUUUAGGCUGUUGAAAUGUCAGAUGGUAAAAACAACCCAAGAGUUCCAGAUGGGGCAAUUAGAAGAGAAACAUGCUGAAGAUGAUAAUAAGAAAAUUCUGGAUUCUCUCAAGUGGGAGUCCCAUGUCCUCACCUGUGACUUCCAAAUGCAAUCACUGUUCAAGUCUUGUGCAAAGCAGCACACCAUGAGGAAGUUCUUCAUUAUCAGGUGUCCCCUCAUUUGGCCAGAAGUGUUUGACCAAACUGUGGAAGGUCUGUGUCAUGAGGAGUUCAGAGGAGAUGUCACAGAGCAAUUUGCUGUUGAGUGGGAAGUCAUGAAGAGUUUGCAGUCUGGCUGCGGUGCUGAUACAUAUGACAGGCUGGUAGAAAGGAGACAAGCUUGCGAGAGCUGCAAUGUGGUGGUGUGUUUGAGAAAAAACAAGAAGGAGCAUGUUGUGCUGAUCCUCCUACCUACCCACUGGUCUGCAAAUGGAGCUUCACCAUACUGAGCUGCUUCUGGGCAUAGCAGAUCCACUGAUGCUGACCACCACUGACUGUGUUUGCUGCUUCAUUAUCCCAGGAAUGUGUCUGGAGAAGUGAGUACCAGGAGGGGACUUUGGCAGCAAGAGGGGUUGAGUCCUUUGGCUGAGCGUACAGCUAUUUGGCCUCUGUCAUUGCCUGCAGCUUCCUCCAAUUUGACUGGAUUGACGGUUGGCCUAGAUGAUCUCAGUGGUCUCUUCCAUUCUUAAUGAUUCUACGACUCUAAUUCUGAGAUACCGCUAGGGCAGAGUACUGUGAAAUCACUGCCAUGGUCAUUUGAAUGCUGUAUGUGUUAAUCCAACAGUUGCAGCAACAGGCUUUCCUGUGCCUCUUUCCAAGAGGCAGUGGGAGUAGGGUGGCAGCCUGGUCACUGACAGCUAAGGAGCAUGUCUAGAGGUUUGGUAGAUGGGGUUUUGGUGCUAUUUCCUUGUACUUUAUAUCUCAUAAAUUCAGACAUUUAGGAGAGUGCAGCAACAUCUGGAAGAUGGUGAACUGCUACAGUGAGGAAAACUGUGUGAUCUAAACCAGCAUGGCCAGUCCUCGGAAGCUGAGCUUGAAGGAUCAUUUGGGCAUUUCAGCUGCUGCAGGUGGGCCAGGUAGUCACCAGGAGAUGACAUCCAUCCCCCAGAGAUGCUGCAGCCCAUGCUGGGCAUGGUGCCUGUCCUUAUCUGUGAACCUUGUGCUUUCUCUAGGCUGUGCUAGGUCUCUGCAGCGGGGUAUCUGGGGCCAGGUCUUGGUCUGCAGACUGGAGGUGAGAAGUCCUGUCGCUGCACAUCGUUGCCAGCGCGUUCCCAUUCUGAGUCAUUCCUUUGCCUGUUUAUUUUUGGUGUUUGUUUAUUUACCAGUGAGGUGUCAGCCCAGAGCAGGUUGGCUGUGCCGAACUCCUCUGGUGGCCCAGUGGAUGCUGCCAGCUCUCUCCAAGUCCUUCUGUGUUGAGAGGGCUUCCACCCUGAGCCCAUAGAGAGAGAGAGAGAGAGAGAGAGAGGCUGGGUUCCUGUAAGAGCAAUCCCACCAGUCUCCCAUCAGAAGAGUGCUCUGCUCCAGGUAACGAGCAUGGUAGCAUAGGGUAAACUUUUUCCACCCUCCCCAUGGAGCCCCUGGCUCCCAGCUCUCUCUCUCUGAGCCAAUUGUGGGGGGUGGAGGGAGGUUAAGAGGCAUAUCCUUUGCUGUAAUUAUAUCCUGUUGCUAGAGAUAUUGUGUUCUGUAUAAAGAAAUCAUCAUAAUACAGCCUCCCGGAGAAGGUAAUUACUGUGCAUCUUAUGAAUGGCUGCAUAUGAAUGUCUGCUCAAGCUGCUGUCAGCAGCAAGUUUCAACACAUCUUACAUACCAGGCAUUUCACAGCCUUAGUUUUAUUUGUUUUCAUCACCCCUUGCCUUAUGCUUUAUAUUUCAUUAAUGGAGCUGGGGUUUUUUUUGUUUGGGUUGUUUAUUUGUUUAUUAUUAAAAAAAGAAAGAAAGAAAAAGGCCAAAGUUCAUGCCUUUGAUGGAGCUUUGGGUGGUGGUGGCAGCAGCUUUUAUUUGCUGCAUUUCCAUUGCUCUGUGGUGGUUUGAGAGGAUCUGGAAGAUGCUGUUUCCCAGCAGUUCCCAUAUGGCAACACACUUGUUGGUCCUGGUUUCCUAGUAUGAGCCCCCAUAACGUGGACCAUACCACUGUUAACAAAAUUUGGUGUCACCAUCACUAGCAUAACCACUCAGAUUUAACACCAUGAGGUCAUUUAUUUUCUUGUUCUAAUCUGCCAGUUUCUCCCUCGUAUUUGAAAAGAGUUGGCACCUCUUCACAAACAGGGAUAUCAGACCCUUCAGGUUUUGGAAGCUCCUCUAAAGCUCCCUCUGCCUUCAGUCUGCCUGCCACUGGCACCAGUGACUCCUCAGCUUGGUUAUGUAAACAGUAUGGAUAUGGUUUUACAACUUGGUAAUACUAUUGGUGAAGAUGGGCAGAUGAAUGAUCCAUAUCCAUUAUCUUCAGCAGGAAUGUUUUAGUUAGAUGAGGGAACACCAAUGGAGAGCUGGUUUGUCACGAUAGGAGUGACCAGGCUUCUGUUCCUUUCCCUAAGGUCACUAAUAUUUGUCUUUCCCCAGCAGUAUGGAGGGUGAUCUGUGUGCAUAUGGAGCCACAGGGUAUGAUCACAGCACCCUGCAUGGCUAUGAAAACAUCAUAUCCAUCUCCUGGCCGGCUCAAGCAAAGUUACGGAACUGCUGCUUGGAUUGCUUCCUUGUGCAAAUGAUUGGGGCGUCCUCUUGCAAUGCUGAAGCUGAGUUGUUUUGGUGCUCUCAGUGAUUUGUUGUGCUUGUGGACAGGUUUCUGUGUGUGCUGAGCAUUGCAUCCAGAGGCGGCUCCUUCCCGGUGCCAUGCAGAGCAUUGAGUCUGUGUCUCUCCGUGAUUCCUGGUGAAGCCUGAAAGGCAGCCCGGCUCCUGAAGGAUGGAAGAUCAUCACAUUCUAUUGCUACAAACCAGACAGUGUGUUGCAGAGAAAUCUUGCACCUGGCACAGCUCUUACCCAGCCCAUAUCCAUCAUUCCUCACAGCCAGAGCCCAGAGGACCAUGCCCUGACUUCUCCCUAGGCUGAGAACACCGAUCUGCAGCUGUGCCCUGCGAGUGCUGAGCCCUUCGCUGAGCUGUAGGAGGCCCUCAGCACCCAUCAACCUCACUGAAGAAGGAAAGGGCAGAGUUUCCUAGGUGACAGAGCUGAGAAAAGGAGAAAGACUGCAAGCAUUCCUCAACCUACCUGAGACACAGACCUUGAAAUAUAGAGGGAAGAGUAGAGCCUUGGAACUGGACUAAUCGUUUUGGGUUGCUGCUGGGAGCACAAUGGUGGCAAAGUGCUGUGACAAGGGACCCUGCUCUUGAACCAACAACAGGAACUAAGCUGACAAGACAAUGAUGGUAUUUUGGCUCAGCUGGCAAAAACAUUGCUUUUGGACAGACUGGAAAUGUUACAUUGAGAAGCAGUUAGUACACCGUUGUGUAAGGUUCCUAAUGGACUGGAGCCAGAACGCUCCAUUAACCACAUGUGUAUGAAAUAUUCAUUGUGCUUGGCUUUUAUUGCCAAGAAGAAGAAAGGUGGAGAAGCUUUGUGUAUAGAGAUAAAGCUGUCAGUAUUGAGGGCUGAAGGAAGGAGUUGAUAACGUGUUCUGAAAUUUUUCACUCUUCAUAUGAGAAGGAUUUUGAGUCUUCAGCAGGGGGCAAAUGUGUGCAGAUUAAAUGCAAGACUUGUUGCUGGGUUUUACAUUUCAUGUAUAAUUUUCCAAAGGGAGAAGGCACCUCCUGUAUCUGUGCCAAACCCCCUGAUCUAUUUUAUACUGUAUGGACCCUGGAAAUGAAACUAAGAGUCAAUCUUUAGAAAAUAAAAUGUGAGAACCACAACCAUGUUCCCCAAAAUACUGGCUUCUAAAUAGAAGAAAACUUUCCUAAAUACAGGAGAAUGGUGGUGAUAGGAAGUAUAUAUGUGUUUUUGUCUUGUUUUAGAUGUGUAAUAAGACUGUCUUUCUCUUUUCUUGGUGCUGAAUAUGCAGUGAACUUAUAGAAGGGUUUUGUUUAGGGGAGCUGUCUUGAUUUGCUGUUCUGCUUUAUCAUUGCAAUAAGGGAAAUCUUAAAACUGUGUUACAGAUUGACUGAAUAAAUGUGUGCGUAUGAUACUGUAGCCAUGCAGCUUCUCUGUCUUGCUGGAAGGUGACUUUGUGCAUCCAUUUAUGCAAGACGUGAUGAAAGGGCAGCAGUCCUACAAGGUAGGAAGAGACAGGGUGCGGUGCUGCGUGGGACUGAUAACUGAGAAUACAAGGCCAAGAAGGAGCACGUGGUGCUUUGCCUAAAUUCUAGAGACUUUGUAUAGCAGCGUUUGAGAGGAUACUGGUAAAGAGAUGGUGAUCUUGUGCAUUGUGGCUAGUCGUGGUUGUAGGAGCACUGAGAAAACGUGUGGGGGCUCUAGGAGACAAAACAUAAUAUUUUGACAGGAGAGGAUGGUAAAGACCAGGAACUCAAUUACAGCAUUAAAUAAAUGCUCCCAGUAGCAUGUGCAAGGUUACACAGACAAACAGCAGUGAAGCAUGUGGGUAAGGAAGUAAGGUGGUCUGAAGGAGUUAUUUAGACUACUUGGAAAAAUUAGACACUCUAACGAUAGAUGGAUCCUGUUUUGCAGGGUAGAAGAUUAAAAAUAAAUAGUAGGGAAGUCCUUAAAAACAGUUUGAGAUGAGGACCUGGAGAAGAGCAUGUCUGACUUGCUGAUCAGUUUCCCAGCAUGAAAGCACCCAUGGGUCUGUGUCCCUAUUGUAGGAUAGGACAACCAGGUAGGAUAGUAGGAUAGGACAAUUAAAUUCAGUUGAUAUAUAAAGUAGAGCAGUCUAAGCAGUUCCACGGCUAAACAAGACACGAGCAGAUUGGCAACUAGACAAAGACAAAAACUAUCUGUCCUUUUCUGUAAAUAUUAAAUGUAUAUGAAAUGAGGAUGGGUGAAUUGUAAUGUUCUGGCCUCCCAGAAAUCUAAGUGAACAAAGCUAAUCAGUUUGAAGCUGUAUUAUCAGGAUACUCAUUAUGUAGAAAUGACAAGAAUAGAUUUUGCCGUUGGUGGAGUGAAUCACAGUAUGUUGGAAAUCAGAGUCCAAUAAGAUAAAUCAGUUAUCUGCAUCAUCACUUACCACCCAGUUUCUAUGGAUUGAAUGUUGCUGUGCCAAAUCAAGAGGAAAAACUAUAAUAAGGUUACCUUUUUAAACAUCUGACCAUGGCACUGACAAUAACCAUGAAAUACUAAGAAGGAUUACAGGCAGUGGGAUGAUAUAAUGCAAGAAGGCUGGGAAAGAUCUGUCCUCAGUAGGAUAUGAAGGGUAAGUUUUAGUCAGCGUCUUUAAUGCUACUUGCAGAAACUUGUGUAACAGUCAAAGAGGACACACUUGACUGAGGCCUGGUUUCAACUGAAGCCAUUUCUACUGAGUUAAAUGUAAAACCAUAACAACACAAACUAAGAUAGUUGGAGGAGUGACUCACAAAAGACAAAAACUAAUAACAAAAACUCUUCCAAACACAAAAGGAGCUGGAAGUCCGACUGGAAAUGGUGGGAUCAGCAAAAGUCCAAGGUGUGAAAGGAGCAAUUGAGGUCAGAAAGGCCGGUGUGUAACAGAUAGCAGAAGGUAUUGAUUGCCUUGCAAAUAGAAAGUCCUCUGAUGUCUGGGGCCAAGGAAUGGCCUCUAAUUGAAUCGUUAAUAGAGGAGCUUAAGAGCUGCUCUAAAAACCUUCUCCUUUUAAAAGACAGAUAAAUGAAAUGAGUGUAAUAACAAAUCACCAGACAAAGGGUAUUCACUCAAAUGUUCUAAAUAACUCUGGUGUGAAACUUCUGGAUUCAGUUAGUUCCGAUCUCAGAGGAGGUAAAUAAUGUGACACCAAACUUAAAAAGGGUUCCAACAGAGAUUUAAAAACAAACUACUGGAAGCCUGUUUUCAAUAUCAGGGAAAAAUGAGAAGAAAUUAUAACAGAGUUAGUGAGUUUAUACAUAAAUGUUAUAUUGUAGGUGUGUCAAUGUGUUUGCAUCACAAACCCUGAUGUUCUUUGAAGGAAUGAAUAAGAUUCUGGAGAAGCAUGAGACAGAAGGAUCUUGGGGUACGAGACCAUAAAGUGGUGAAUGAAAGCCAAUGUCAAAAAGUGUAAAUAAUACAGGGGGAAAUAUUUUUGACCACUCAUGAUUCUAGGUAGCUGUGAUUACUUUAUUUGGGAAAAUGAGGACUAAAGCCAUUGUUGCAGGUUUUCCAUAAAUAUCAGACCAAUGUUAGUAGUCAUAUGAAUGACAGAAAAGAAUUUCUGGAGCUGGGAAUAACUGAGAAGAAAACAAAUAGCUUAUGCCAGUACAGCAUAUCUUAGAACGACAGAGGCACUGAUUUCCCUUCAGUGCUCCCUGCAUCUUCACUGCUGUAUGUAGGAAUGCUCACUCAAAUUGGAAGAAGAUGCAGUAGAUGUAGAAAAGACAUAGAAAAGAGCAGUAAGUAAUCAAAGUUCUGAAAUGUUGUGUGCCCAUGUAUGUAUAUAUACUUUAAUCUAAAUAAAGUAGUGCUUCUCAGCCUUGAAAACUGAAGAAGUAUUUGGUUGAAGCUGAUAAAAUUAUGAGUGAUAUGGAGGAGGUGA